CAGUAGCCGCGGUAAUACGUAGGUGGCAAGCGUUGUCCGGAAUUAUUGGGCGUAAAGGGCUCGCAGGCGGUUUCUUAAGUCUGAUGUGAAAGCCCCCGGCUCAACCGGGGAGGGUCAUUGGAAACUGGGAAACUUGAAUGCAGAAGAGGAGAGUGGAAUUCCACGUGUAGCGGUGAAAUGCGUAGAGAUGUGGAGGAACACCAGUGGCGAAGGCGACUCUCUGGUCUGUAACUGACGCUGAGGAGCGAAAGCGUGGGGAGCGAACAGGAGUAGAUACCCGGGUAGUCCUUGUCUCUUAUAC
rnacentral:rRNA from 1 species